AUUGAACGCUGGCGGCAGGCCUAACACAUGCAAGUCGAGCGGAUGAAGGGAGCUUGCUCCUGGAUUCAGCGGCGGACGGGUGAGUAAUGCCUAGGAAUCUGCCUGGUAGUGGGGGAUAACGUCCGGAAACGGGCGCUAAUACCGCAUACGUCCUGAGGGAGAAAGUGGGGGAUCUUCGGACCUCACGCUAUCAGAUGAGCCUAGGUCGGAUUAGCUAGUUGGUGGGGUAAGGGCCUACCAAGCCGACGAUCCGUAACUGGUCUGAGAGGAUGAUCAGUCACACUGGAACUGAGACACGGUCCAGACUCCUACGGGAGGCAGCAGUGGGGAAUAUUGGACAAUGGGCGAAAGCCUGAUCCAGCCAUGCCGCGUGUGUGAAGAAGGUCUUCGGAUUGUAAAGCACUUUAAGUUGGGAGGAAGGGCAGUAAGUUAAUACCUUGCUGUUUUGACGUUACCAACAGAAUAAGCACCGGCUAACUUCGUG
rnacentral:rRNA from 1 species